rnacentral:rRNA from 1 species
CCUACGGGAGGCAGCAGUGGGGAAUAUUGCACAAUGGGGGAAACCCUGAUGCAGCGACGCCGCGUGAGUGAAGAAGUAUUUCGGUAUGUAAAGCUCUAUCAGCAGGGAAGAAAAUGACGGUACCUGAUUAAGAAGCCCCGGCUAACUACGUGCCAGCAGCCGCGGCCAUACGUAGGGGGCAAGCGUUAUCCGGAUUUACUGGGUGUAAAGGGAGCGUAGACGGCAGCACAAGUCUGGAGGGAAAUGCCGGGGCUUAACCCCGGAACUGCUUUGGAAACUGUGCAGCUAGAGUGCAGGAGAGGUAAGUGGAAUGCGUAGUGUAGCGGUGAAAUGCGUAGAUAUUAGGAGGAACACCAGUGGCGAAGGCGGCUUACUGGACUGUAACUGACGUUGAGGCUCGAAAGCGUGGGGAGCGAACAGGAUUAGAUACCCUUGUAGUC